rnacentral:ncRNA from 2 species
GAAAAAUCAAAUAGAAUUUUUCGUAUAACCUCAAUAAUCGGCUUGAGGGUUUCUACUGGGAACCGGAAUUCCUAUCUACGAAAGGCAUUUUCCUGUGG